rnacentral:lncRNA from 1 species
AUCCCAAGCUGGGAAUGAAGCUGAAGUGGAAGUAGUGAAAUUUCUUUCACUACUAGUUUGAAAAAGCCUGCAUGUUCUCUUACAAGAAUUUCAAAGCUUUGUUCUAGUGCUAUUAUUUGACUAAUAGACAAAGCUGCAAGUUAAUUGUAGUAAAAAGAUUUAUUGUCAUUAUAACAGCAAAAUCUGAAAAAUGAAAGGUAUCAUUAAAAGGUGUCAUUCUCCUUUAUAAAAGCAGUUUGUUAUGUAAUUAGCUUUUGAAUUCUGAGAGCACAAGUCCAGAUGUCCCUUGCUCUUGCCUUGGCAGCCCAUGCAGUAUGUUUCAUGUAAAUACUCCGUUUCAGUAGAUCACCAGAAGGAACUGCAACAUAUUUCAAAGAAUAAUAUAUAACCAAGAAUGUUGGAGGACUCAAGUUUAUUUCCCUCGCUGUGCUGAAGAAAACUGACAUUCUUACUUUCCAUCAAGUGAAGGCCAUAAUCAUUAGGAAUGACUUAUACUGAACAACAGUUACUUCUUCCUGUCCUGUUGAAUCUGAACUCCUGACUCAGUAGACCAAAGAGAAAGAAUUGGCUUUGGUUCUGGGCCCAAUAUGGAAAG